rnacentral:rRNA from 1 species
CCUACGGGAGGCAGCAGUAAGGAAUAUUGGUCAAUGGACGCAAGUCUGAACCAGCCAUGCCGCGUGAAGGAUGAAUGCCCUCUGGGUUGUAAACUUCUUUUAUAGGGGACGAAAAAGGGUCUUUUUAGAUCAACUGACGGUACCCUAGGAAUAAGCACCGGCUAACUCCGUGCCAGCAGCCGCGGUAAUACGGAGGGUGCAAGCGUUAUCCGGAUUUACUGGGUUUAAAGGGUGCGUAGGUGGGUUGGUAAGUCAGCGGUGAAAUCUUCGAGCUUAACUCGGAAACUGCCAUUGAUACUAUCAGCCUUGAAUAUCCUGGAGGUGAGCGGAAUAUGUCAUGUAGCGGUGAAAUGCUUAGAUAUGACAUAGAACACCAAUUGCGAAGGCAGCUCACUACGGGAUUAUUGACACUGAGGCACGAAAGCGUGGGGAUCAAACAGGAUUAGAUACCCUGGUAGUCCACGCCCUAAACGAUGGAUACUCGACAUUUGCGAUAUACAGUAAGUGUCUGAGCGAAAGCAUUAAGUAUCCCACCNGGAGAGANCGCAGAUAGUAACGACAAGAGUAGUAGCGNGAGAGAGCGACGACGACGACGAGGAGGGAGG